GAGUUCGCGGGAGAGUAAGUUAUUGCCAGGGUUUUUAUUUUGUACUUUAAACCUUAAAUUUAUUUUUUAUAUUUUUUUAAUGUUUAUGUUUUUGAAUGUUUUAUUCAAAUAAUGUAAAAAAUAAAAUAGAUAUUGACAUGGAUUGAACAAAAGAUAUAUAUUAUUUUAUGUUGCAUAAACAAAUUGGCAAAAUAGAGAUGGAAGAUAAAAAUAUGGUCAAAGUAAUAAGAGUCUAUGGUGAAUGCC
rnacentral:misc_RNA from 1 species